AAAUGUCAAAUUUUCAUGAGGCGUGAUCUGAGUUGCUUUGCUCUUGCUGUUAGUUUGUUUACUAUUGCAAAAUGUCAUACAAAAUUUAAAUCUAUAAAAAUUAGGGCCUUGCUUUUUGUUACCAUUUCUUCAUGAGUUCACUAUUGCUUUUGAUUAUCAUUAGUUGAUUUUAAGUUUGCAGUUUUUGCUACAAACACAAAAUACACAUAAAUGGGGAAAAAAAGAUCUUAUAGGGUUUGUUUAAUUUUGAAAAAUCUUAUCCUCCAUAUACAUUAUGGGUAUGCUUCUGUGACCGAUUUAUAUAUUUCUAGACUUAUUCCGCAUUAGUUGAUCCCUUUUUACCUAGUUAUCUACUACUGUGUCAUGAUUUAACCAAAAAUGGCAGGUGGCUUUAUUUAGUUACAGUACAGCUUUUCUUACUAACAAUUUGAUGAACAAACAUAAUGCAAAGAAGACAGCUUUAAAGAAAACCAGUAAAGUCCCAUUACGUCAAAUACUUCAUUAUUUGUUUUGUGUCUGUUGGUAAGAUUUUUAUUUGUUUCCUUACUAUUGGCAAUUUUGUUAGUGGGGUCUUAUUUGUGAGGGAUUUGAAUGAAGUGGAAUAAUUUUGCAGUAAAACACUACUUGGUAGUCAACUAUUAAAUGUGUCGUGUUAUUGUAGUUCUUUAGAUGUUGUAUACAUUAGUUCACCAAAUUGCAGACAUGGCAAGUUAUUAUUCUAAUUUAGAAAGGUGAAGGGAGCCAAACACGUAGUAUCAUUGUGUAAGUUGGCACCCCUUUACUUCGUUGUAUACAAUGAAUUUCAUGAUUAAGAUCAAGGCAUAUUUGUCUUAGGUAUCCCACUUACACAUUAAAAUAUCAUAUAUUCACCACUGCUGAUUCUUUAAUUAAUUUUAGGGAAAAAGAAAAUUCAACAAGUUUCUGUUCUUAAUUUUAAUGAUUACCCGAUCUAAUAAUAGGCUAAAAAUAUAUUAGUGCCGGUUGUGAGGAAAGGCAUUGAUUAUCAAUUUUUUAAUGAAUCCUAACUAUUGUGAGAGGUUUUUCGAAGUAGCUAACUUACCUGGAUUUGAAUCGGGUAAGAUAAUCAAGUUCAAAUGAAAUGACACGCUUGAUUUUAUUUAUUUAUUAUUUUUUAAUUCAAAUCCUUAUGCUCUAUGUUCCUAUCUUACCUGGAUUACAAAUACAUUCAGUUAUGUGUCAUUUCAUUUGAACUUGAUUCGGUUCAAGUUUGUGAAAAAAAAAA